rnacentral:rRNA from 1 species
GACGAACGCUGGCGGUGUGCUUAACACAUGCAAGUCGAACGCUGAAGACCUGGCUUUUGUUGGGUUGGAUGAGUGGCGAACGGGUGAGUAACACGUGAGUAACCUGCCCUCUUCUUUGGGAUAACGCCCGGAAACGGGUGCUAAUACUGGAUAUUCACUGGCCUUCGCAUGGGGGUUGGUGGAAAGGUUUGUUCUGGUGGGGGAUGGGCUCGCGGCCUAUCAGCUUGUUGGUGGGGUGAUGGCCUACCAAGGCUUUGACGGGUAGCCGGCCUGAGAGGGUGACCGGUCACAUUGGGACUGAGAUACGGCCCAGACUCCUACGGGAGGCAGCAGUGGGGAAUAUUGCACAAUGGGCGAAAGCCUGAUGCAGCGACGCCGCGUGAGGGAUGGAGGCCUUCGGGUUGUAAACCUCUUUCGCUCAUGGUCAAGCCGCAACUGUGGGUUGUGGUGAGGGUAGUGGGUAAAGAAGCGCCGGCUAACUACGUG